AGCACAGUGGUGCAAUGGUUAGCACCCUUUCCUCUCAGCAAGAAGGUUCUGGGUUAAAUUCCCGGGCUUGCGUUG